rnacentral:rRNA from 1 species
AUGCCCUACAACACCGUGGCCGACCACUUGCACGACCAUCGUGCGGCGGUGCUGCCACUGUCGUGGUCACUCCGCCUCAAUGUCGUCAUCGAGGCAGUUGCAACGGUAGCCUAUCUCCACCCCAUCGAGCCUCUCAUGGUGUACAGUGAUGAGAAGACUACCAACAUCCUCCUCGAUGCCGAAUCCCAUGUCAAGGUGGCUGACUUUGGCCUCACCCGGCUCUUCCCGCUUGACGGCGCCACGGGGCAUACCAAGGUUAGUGGACCGGGGUAUAGUUGUGUGAACAUGAGAUUUGAGUAG